CCUGCCCGACCGUUGCCUUCUUGUUAUAUCUCCGUCUCUCGGGUUCUUCUCACCUCUACUCGCCCAAUCUUUACUAAUCCAUAUAUUUUGCUUUAAAAACUUGGAUUUGAUCCAUAGAUCUUUGCUAGCAAGGUAAUCUCAGUUUCCUCCUUGUUUUUUACGCAUUGAUUUGGUAUAUAUUACUUGUAUUUUAUAACCCUAA
rnacentral:lncRNA from 1 species